UACGGAGGAUGCGAGCGUUAUCCGGAUUUAUUGGGUUUAAAGGGUGCGUAGGUGGGCUAUUAAGUCAGUGGUGAAAGUUUGUCGCUCAACGAUAAAAUUGCCGUUGAAACUGGUGGUCUUGAGUAUGGAUGAAGUAGGCGGAAUGCGUGGUGUAGCGGUGAAAUGCAUAGAGAUCACGCAGAACUCCAAUUGCGAAGGCAGCUUACUAAGGCAUAACUGACACUGAAGCACGAAAGCGUGGGUAUCAAACAGG
rnacentral:rRNA from 1 species